rnacentral:lncRNA from 1 species
GCAUUCGUGCGAGUUGUUAAAUCCGGGUUAUGUCCCGAAGGCAUUGUGUGAGUUACUAAAACCGGGCUAUGUCCCGAAGGCAUUUGAACGAGGAGCUAUAUCCGGUUAAAUCCCGAAGGUACGUGAUUUGGUAAUGAAUGAGCUUGCUGUAAAAUUCCAGCGAAUACUCGAAAAACAUCCCAAUAUGGGGAUAUGUUACGUAUGUGUUGAAUUUAAUCGAGCCCUUACAAAUAAAUGUUCGCUCAGUUGAUAAACGAGCUACCGGCCUUCGGCUAAGUUAGUUUAUUGUGUAUGUACAUAAGGGUUGUUAAUGUUGUGAAGCAAGUUUGAUAUCGGUAAAUUGCGUAUUAUGAAAUAUUCCGUUUAGCUAAAUGUGUGCUAUUCUUUGUGUAUGCUGGAAUUCCUUGCUCAAAACUUACUAAGCAUAAAUUGCUUACUCGUUACAUUGCUCCUCUGUUUUAUAGAUUUUUGGUUCUCCAGCUAUCGGACUCGGGAUCUUGAAGUCGAAGUCGCCCACACUAUCAAAGGCUCUUUUGGGUACUAUUUUGGUUGAAUUUUGAUAUGGCAUGUAUAGGACUACCCAUUGUUGUCUUUCGAGUACUUUAUGAAAUGUAUAAGUGUACAGCCAUGCGAAAAUGGCUUGUAGAAGUGGAGUAUGGCUUUAGACCAUUCGUGUUUAUGAAUGUAUAGAUGGUUUCAUGAUGUAACUAUAGUUGGAAUGGAAGUGUUGAGCAAAUGAUCAGCCACUGGAAUGGCUAAGUAUGAUCAUAAGUGGGCUUAUGUAUGACAAGGCCCUAGUUGGUCCAUGAAACCCCAAAUUAGGUAAGGUUUACUUUGAAAACAGAAGCUGAUAGCAGCAGUGGUGUGGAUUGGAAAAAUCACAAGAAUUCGUAGGAGUGGAAUUAAAUAGUGAAUAAAUUAUGUAAUCGAACCUUGAUGAAUCUACUUUCAUAUGGAAGUAACGAAACAAUCAUAGGAAUAGUACAGUAAGAGAUAUUCGGGUUCUUGUGGAACAGGGCCAGAACAGUUUCUGGAUUCCCUGUUCCGCCUUUGGAAAUUCACUAUAAAUUGACCAGAGAUAAUUAGGGGUCAUACCAUAUAUGUAUGGAUUCCUAUCUGAGUCUAGUUUCCAUAGAAACAAACGGCAUCAGUAUUGAAGCUCUGUGCAGAGAGAUAUCCAAGUCGUAAUGGGAAAAGGUCAGUGUAGUCGACCCCUGUAACAUGGGAGAUUUUGACUAAUAAACUAUACUAAUUGGCCCGACCAAAAAUUCUAGAAAAAAAUACAUAGAUGGGGACAUGAGUCUAGUUUCAGGGAAAAAUCAUAAAACUGAUUUUCGAGUUGUGAAACUCAAGAUAUGAUUUUUGAAGCGACUAGUACUCAGACUGGGCAGUGUCUGGAAAAAUUUUUCAAAGUUUGUUAACAUCUCGUGUCCGACUCCGGUGUCGGUCUCGGGUUCGGGGUGUUACAUUUUAUUGGUAUCAGAGCUACGGUUUAGUCGAUUCUAGGACUACCGUAAUGUGAUGGGUCUAGCUAUACAUGCCAUUUUAUGUGAUUACUUGAUAGUGUGGUGAUUUCUGACAAUUGUAAAUGUGUUUAGUUAUAGUAAUGGAUCCCGAUCGUGACCGAGAGGUAGCUGAUGAUCUUGAGGGUGUAGCGCCUGCUCCCGCACAAGGGACAGUGCUGGCGGACUCUCAACCUAAUGCUAGUAAUCCGAAUGAUGAAGCUAGACAAGCAUUCUAUAGCGUGAUGAAUGAUUGGUUCAACCAAUACAUUCGAACUAAUAUGGCUGUUCCACAACCUCCAUUCCCGACAAAUACUACCCCCGCACCUACAAUACCACCGGUAACUGACCAAUUAAGGUCAAAUAAGCCCCCAGUUGACAGAAUCCGAAAACAUGGGGCUACUGAAUUUAAGGCUACGGAUAGCGAUGAUGCCGAGCAAGCUGAACUUUGGCUGGACAACGCUAUCCGGGUACUCGAUGAGCUAUCUUGUACACCCGAUGAAUGCCUAAAGUGUGCUAUCUCCUUGCUACGUGAUUCUACCUACUAUUGGUGGAGUACUCUGACUUCCGUUGUGCCCCGAGAGCAAGUAACUUGGGAGUUUUUCCAAACUGAGUUUCGGAAAAAGUAUAUCAGUCAGAGAUUUGUUGAUCAAAAACGGAAGGAAUUCCUUGAGCUUAUGCAAGGCUCCAUGUCGGUUACUGAUUACGAGCGAAAAUUUGUUAGACUUAGCAAAUACGCUCGGGAAUGUGUUUCGUCCGAAGCUAUUAUGUGUAAACGUUUCGAGGAUGGGCUGAAUGAAGAUAUAAAAAUGUUCAUUGGCGUUCUUGAAAUACGAGAGUUCGUGGUACUUGUUGAACGAGCUUGUAAAGCCGAAGAGCUUAGAAAAGAAAAGCAAAGAGUUGAUGAGGGAACUGGAGAGUUUCGUAAAAGAUCCUCGGGAAGGUCUCUUCAAUAAGCAUCGAAGAGAUUUCGAGAUGAUGCGGGCCAGUUUAGAGGCACUUCGGGCCUUUUUAGACGAGAUCGUGAUCGACCCCUUGUGGGUACACGAGGCACUUCAAUCACCAGUGUUGGGAAUGAACGUCGAGACAGAACGAAAUGCCGGUAUUGCGGUAAAUGGCAUUCGGGGAGUUGUAGAUUCCCUGACCGCUCCUGUUACAAAUGCGGAUCAGUUGACCACUUCAUUAAAGAUUGCCCGAGGUUGUCGGAACAUAAUGUAAAUCAGAAUGGGAGACCGGGUGCUACCACUACUCGGGGUAGACCAUCUGGAAAUGCGGGCAAUGCUGGUGGUGGUCAGAGAGGAUCUAGAGAUGAUAUAACCAGAUCCGAAGCUCGUGCGCCUGCUAGAGCUUAUGCUAUACGUGCCCGCGAGGAUACUUCUUCGCCUGAUGUUAUUACCAGUACAUUCACUCUCUUUGAUACUAAAGUAAUUGCUUUGAUUGACCCCGGUUCUACUCAUUCUUACAUAUGUGAAACCUUAGCCUCCAGUAAGACUUUACCUAUUGAGUCUACUGAGUUCGUAAUUCGGGUGUCAAAUCCCUUGGGUCGUUACGUGCUUGUCGACAAAGUGUGUAAGAAAUGUCCCCUGGAAAUUCGAGGUUCCUGUUUCCCGGCGAACUUGAUGCUUUUGCCGUUUGAUGAAUUUGAUGUUAUCCUUGGUUUGGAUUGGUUGACCGCGCAUGAUGCGGUUGUGAACUGCAAGAGCAAGACUAUUGAUUUAAGGUGCGCAAAUAACGAAGUAAUCCGAGUUGAAUCUGCGGACUUGGAGGGGAUGCCAGCUGUAAUAUCAGCAAUGUUGGCACAGAAAUAUGUAAGAAGAGGGUGCGAAGCAUACCUUGCGUAUGUACUUGAUGACAAAGAAUUAGAAAAGAAACCCGAAUCUGUGCCGGUGGUUUGUGAAUACCCGGAUGUUUUUCCGGAAGAAUUGCCGGGUUUACCACCUGUUCGGGAGAUAGAGUUUGGUAUUGAGCUUGCACCUAGGACUACGCCGAUUUCGAUAGCCCCAUAUCGUAUGGCACCAACCGAGUUAAAAGAGUUAAAAGCUCAGUUGCAAGAAUUGACGGAUAGAGGUUUUGCGCGACCAAGCUUCUCACCUUGGGGUGCACCAGUAUUGUUCGUGAAAAAGAAGGACGGAACCAUGAGGUUGUGUAUUGACUAUCGUCAGCUGAAUAAAGUGACGAUAAAGAAUAAAUAUUCGUUGCCGCGCAUCGAUGAUUUGUUCGACCAACUGAAGGGAGCCACAGUGUUCUAAAAAAUAGAUUUGAGAUCGGGCUAUUAUCAGUUGCGAAUUCGAGAAUCGGACAUACCAAAAACUGCCUUCAGAACGAGAUAUGGUCACUAUGAAUUCUUAGUGAUGCCGUUUGGGCUCACUAAUGCCCCUGCGGUAUUUAUGGAUUUGAUGAAUCGGAUCUUCAGACCAUAUUUGGAUCGGUUCGUAGUUGUGUUCAUUGAUGACAUUUUGGUCUAUUCAAGAGAUGAGACCGAACAUGCUGAGCAUCUGAGGCUAGUGCUGUAAAUUUUGCGGGAGAAGCAGUUAUAUGCUAAGUUCAGUAAAUGUGAGUUCUGGUUAAGAGAGGUUAGCUUCUUGGGUCAUGUGGUAUCCGCGUCGGGUAUUCGAGUUGACCCGAACAAAAUUUCAGCCAUACUUGACUGGAAACCUCCGAGAAAUAUUACUGAGGUUCGGAGCUUUUUGGGGCUCGCCGGUUAUUACCGACGAUUUGUGAAAGGUUUCUCGAUGAUAGCCACACCAAUGACGAAGCUACUUCAAAAGGACGUUAAGUUCGAGUGGACGGAGAAAUGUCAGAAAAGUUUCGACCAACUGAAAACUCAUUUGACUGAAGCUCCAAUUUUGGUGCAACCCGAAUCAGGUAAAGAGUUUGUCAUUUAUAGUGACGCAUCCCUACUUGGGUUGGGUUGCGUAUUGAUGCAAGAAGGUCGAGCCGUGGCCUAUGCGUCGAGACAAUUGAAGCCACACGAGAGGAAUUAUCCAACCCAUGAUCUCGAACUAGCUGCCAUCGUGUUUGCUUUAAAAAUAUGGCGACAUUAUCUGUUUGGUGAGAAGUGUCAUGUAUUUUCGGAUCACAAAAGUCUCAAAUAUUUGAUGACUCAACGAGACUUGAAUCUGCGACAAAGACGUUGGCUUGAGUUGUUGAAAGAUUACGAGCUUGUCAUUGAUUACCACCCGGGAAAGGCUAACGUGGUUGCGGACGCCUUAAGCCGGAAGUCAUUGUUUGCUUUACGAGCGAUGAACGUGCAUUUGUCUGUUCUACCAGACAGUGUGUUAGUAGCUGAAUUAAAAGCUAAACCAUUAUUGACUCACCAAAUUCGUGAAGCUCCGAAAGUCGAUGAUGAAUUGGUUGCAAAACGGGCUAAGUGUUUUCCGAACGAGGAAUCGGAGUUUCAAAUUGAUGAUGAUGAUUGUUUGAGGUUCAGAAAUCGUUUGUGUGUUCCAAGGAAUUCGGAACUCAUUUCGAUGAUUCUGAACGAAGCCCAUUGUAGCUGAAUGUCAAUUCACCCGGGGAGUACGAAAAUGUACAACGAUUUGAAACGUCAAUUUUGGUGGCAUGGUAUGAAACGAGACAUCUCCGACUUUGUUUCGAGAUGUUUAAUAUGUCAACAAGUGAAAGCGGAACAUCAAGUGCCUUCAGGAUUACUUCAGCCGAUCAUGAUACCCGAGUGGAAAUGGGAUCGAGUCACAAUGGACUUUGUGUCCGGACUGCCAUUGUCAACAAGUAAGAAGGAUGCGAUUUGAGUUGUUGUUGAUAGACUGACUAAGUCGGCUCACUUUAUCCCCGUGCGUACGAAUUUUUCAUUGGAUAAACUAGCCGAAUUGUAUGUUUCUCAGAUUGUGAGAUUACACGGGGUACCUAUUUCUAUCAUGUCGGAUAGAGAUCCGAGAUUCACCUCGCGAUUUUGGAGGAAAUUGCAAGAAGCUUUGGGUACCAAGCUGCAUUUAAGCACUGCUUUUCAUCCCCAAACCGAUGGUCAAUCUGAGCGGAUAAUUCAGAUACUUGAGGAUAUGUUGAGAUGUUGCAUCCUCGAGUUCAGUGGUUCAUGGGAACGGUAUUUACCUUUGAUUGAAUUCGCUUACAACAAUAGUUUUCAAUCAAGUAUUAAGAUGGCACCUUACGAGGCUUUGUACGGUCGUAAAUGUCGUACACCAUUGUUUUGGACCGAGCUCAGUGAAAGUAAAAUUUUCGGAGUUGAUUUGAUUAAAGAUGCUGAACGGAAAGUAAAGGUAAUUCGUGAAAGUCUGAAGGUAGCCACAGAUCGUCAGAAGUCGUACGUGGAUUUGAAACGAAAAGACAUCGAGUAUCAGGUGGGAGACAAAGUGUUCCUUAAGGUUUCACCUUGGAAAAAGAUACUCAGGUUUGGCCGUAAGGGCAAGUUGAGCCCGAGAUUCAUUGGGCCGUACGAAAUCUCCGAACGAGUUGGUCCGGUUGCGUAUAGAUUGAUUUUGCCCCCGGAGCUUGAAAAGAUUCAUGACGUCUUUCAUGUUUCGAUGCUUCGACGCUAUCGAUCUGAUCCAUCGCACAUAAUUAGCCCAUCAGAGGUUGAAAUUCAAGUCGACAUGAGCUAUGAAGAAGAACCGAUGCGUAUCCUAGCUCGUGAAGUGAAGGAGUUGCGAAACAAAAGAGUUCCGCUAGUAAAGGUGUUAUGGCUCAAACACGGGAUCGAGGAAGCUACUUGGGAGACCGAGAGCUCGAUGAAAGAACGAUACCCAAACCUAUUUACCGGUAAGAUUUUCGGGGACGAAAAUUUCUUAAGUGGGGGAGAGUUGUGACAGCCCAAAGUUGACCCUAGUCGGGAAGUGGUUUCGGGACCGCUAAACCGAGUCACCGAAAUGUUGAAUGUGAUAUUUAUUGUCUAGAAUAUGUAAUUAUGAAUGUGUGAAAAUUUCAAGCUUCGAUUUAGUCGAUUGCAUGUGAAUUUAGUCAAUAGGACUUAUGUGAGAAAAUUUUAAAAUGUGAUAGGUCAAUGUGUGAGGACCUAUUAGUGCAUGUGGACAAAAGGGGGGACUUGCAUGUCAAAUUUCCCCCCCUAAUGAGUAGUGGCCGGCCAUGACAAGGAAUGAUGGGCAAAACAUGUCAUGAAACAUGUUUUGUUAAUGGAAGAAUAAAAUAAGGAGUAUGGGUAAUAAAGAAAUGGAAACAAAAGAAAAAAAAAGUGUGGUUGCCCCUCCAUUGCCGUGAGCUAAAGAGAAGAAAGGAGAAAAAUUUGUGUUCAUCCUUUCUCACCUUCAUUUAGCCUAAAUUAGAAAGAAAAACAAAGAAAAAAAUUUCUCAUCCUUUGGUUCAUCCUUGGCCAAAAAUUUUAAGGAGGAAAGAAGAAGAAAGGUGAAGAGAUUCGGCCAUGCAUGUAGCUAGGCUAAGGUAUGUUUGAUGAUGUUCCAUGAGAUGCAUGCAUGUUUUAGUUGUUAGCUUGAGUUCUACCUAGCCCAUGGUCUAAAUCUUGCUAUGUGAUGGAAAUGGCACUUGACCAUGGAUGCAUCAUUCUUGGUUGAUGUUUGAUGUUGUGGUGAUGAGGCAUGAGGAUGAGUUAAGAUUCGGCCUAGGUGGAGGUUGUGUUAAUGCCAUUGCAUGCAAAAUAUGAAGCUUGUUAAUGAUGCAUGUGAUGAUGGCUUGAUGGUUCUUGAACCUCCUUUUUAGCAUUUUUGUGUGAGCACAUAUGUGCAUUGGUUGCUAAAUGGAGAAGAAAUCGGCUAGCAAGAUGUGUGCUAAGGCCGAAUGUAACUUUGCAUGUUAAUAAGCAAUGCAUGUGUUAAAUUGAUGAAAAGGGGGAGGAUGCUUUACUAGUGUGUAUGUGUGUAUUAAGUGUUGAAAUCGACCCCAAAAAUAGACAUGCAUAUUCGGCCAAGGGGAAAGAAAUUAGCUAAUAUGUUGUGUUGAUGCAUGAUUUUUGCAUGUAUGAGACUUUAAUGUCUAAUGUAUAAAUAUGGGCUAAGUGCCUUGUGUUCAUCUUUUUGAUGCCUAAAUGAUGAAAUCAAUUUAUUUGUUUAAUUAAGCUCAAGAGCAAAGGGGAAAUAAAUCCGAUAAAGGGAAGGAAAAAGUGGUCGAAUAGUUAGCGGAAUCGUUCGACAACACCCGAGGUAAGUUCUUGAGUAAGAGAGCUUAAAUUACGAUGUGAUUAAAUCAUGUUUUAAGCAAAUUAAAAUCAUGCUCUAUGAGUGGCUAUUGAGCCGAAUGUGCAAGGAUGGUGUGUGCCUUGUGUUGAGUUUUGCUAAUGAAAAAGAAAUACGAAUGUGCCAUGAAUUAUUGUUAGAGGUGCAUGAUUAAUUGAAUGCUGUCCGGGCUAAGUCCCGAAGGCUUUGUGCUAAGUGAAUAUAUCCGGACUAAGAUCCGAAGGCAUUUGUGCGAGAUACAAAUUCCGGGUUAAGCCCCGAAGGCAUUUGUGCGAAAUACAAAUUCCGGGUUAAGCCCCGAAGGCCUUUGUGCGAGAUACUAAAUCCGGGUUAAGUCCCGAAGGCAUUCGUGCGAGUUGUUAAAUCCGGGUUAAGUCCCGAAGGCAUUCGUGCGAGUUGUUAAAUCCGGGUUAUGUCCCGAAGGCAUUGUGUGAGUUACUAAAACCGGGCUAUGUCCCGAAGGCAUUUGAACGAGGAGCUAUAUCCGGUUAAAUCCCGAAGGUACGUGAUUUGGUAAUGAAUGAGCUUGCUGUAAAAUUCCAGCGAAUACUCGAAAAACAUCCCAAUAUGGGGAUAUGUUACGUAUGUGUUGAAUUUAAUCGAGCCCUUACAAAUAAAUGUUCGCUCAGUUGAUAAACGAGCUACCGGCCUUCGGCUAAGUUAGUUUAUUGUGUAUGUACAUAAGGGUUGUUAAUGUUGUG